GCACACCACCUUCUAUUCCCCUCGUAAACCCUAAACCCUUGCCGAUGCCAACAGUUAUUCUUCCUACUCUCGAAAUGGCUUGGCGCGGAUCGAUUUCGAGAUCGCUGCUCGCCGCCGCGCGGUCCUCGUCCCCCAGGUCGUCGCCGGCGGUCCCUCGCCUCCGUUCCCAGCCCGCCGCCGCUCCCCGACUCCAACGUCGGCGCAUCUCCUUCUCCCCUCCCCGAUCUUUGGGACAAUUAGGAUGCGCGCAGUCCUUCCUUCCACUUUACAGCGUGGUGGCCGCGCCUCGUCUCACCUCCCACCUGUCGGUCAGCGCGAGAGCGUGCUGCGAGCUCUCUCAGGGGAAAAAUGGAAAAGAUGGUUGAUGCAAGAGACAGAGCGUCAUCCCGGAAGACCACUGUCUAAGCCAAUGCACUUGAAGGAAAUAGGAUCGAUUGGAAUAUUAGCAAGCGGAGGAUUCUUAUUAGGCGUAGUAUGAGAACCGGCUUAUGCACUAAUUGGAAAAUCAGGAUGAACUACAAGUGAUUUUUGCUUGUUUCAUUAGAAUAAUUUCAUAAGUAUGCAAUAAGUGUUACUGUUGCUUCUGGUGAAACAUCAGCCAUGAUAAUUAUGUUACGAUUGUGCCACUUGAAUUUUUUUGGUGGUUUAAUUGGUAUCAUCUGGCAUAAUGUUCUAGUCUCCUAAAUUUGAACUUCUGCUUCUAGUUUCUUUGUGUUUUCAUCUGGUAUUAUAAUUAUAUAUAUAUAUGCAGCAAUCAUUUGUGGGGUUGAUGAACAGAGCCACCUGCUUUGACCCAGAACAACCAACUAAGAAUCAAGUAGGACAAGAACCUGAUACAAGUACUUCUGGAGUGGGAAUGCUGAAGUAGAAAGAAGCAUACAAGAAGUAGAAAAGGUAACACAACAUCAACACAGCAAAUGAGAAACCUGCCAUCAAUUACAUCAAGCUCAAAGAGACAGACAUCCCCUUCUUCUUCCAAGUUGUUGUCCAGGACCAAUCUCUUCCAGUUACCCCUGAGGGAUCUAGAUUUGUUUAUAACAAGGUAAGAGACAACCCACUUCCUCUUCUGACCUGGAUCCUGAAGAAUGAUGCCUGUGGCUCUCACAAGGAAGAAGUGCUGCUGCAAAGGUGGAAGGAAUAUUAUGCACAAAACCACAGAAAACAGCAUUGCUCCAGCCACAAGAAAGCAAGAACAUAAGUCAAAUGAUUAAUAGAUAAUAAUGAUGUUGCCAGAGGCUGAUGAACAAUCAAGUAGAAAUUUUAAGUUUACCUACUGGACAAGAGAGAUUUAGAUUUGCUGUUGCUUUCAAUUUAUAUAUGUAUUCAAAUUGGGAAAAGGAUGAAGCUUAUGUACUCUGCAGG